rnacentral:rRNA from 1 species
UACGGAGGGUGCAAGCGUUGUCCGGAAUUAUUGGGCGUAAAGAGCGAGCAGGCGGUUUGGCAAGUUGGACGUGAAAUUUUAGGGCUUAACCCUAAAGGGUCGUCCAAAACUCCCAGACUAGAGUGCAGGAGAGGAAAGCGGAAUUCCCGGUGUAGUGGUGAAAUGCGUAGAUAUCGGGAGGAACACCAGAGGCGAAGGCGGCUUUCUGGCCUGUAACUGACGCUGAGGCGCGAAGGCUGGGGUAGCGAACAGG